rnacentral:rRNA from 1 species
AUUGAACGCUGGCGGCAUGCCUUACACAUGCAAGUCGAACGGUAGAGGGGGCAACCCCUCGAGAGUGGCGAACGGGUGAGUAAAGCAUCGGAACGUGCCCAGUAGUGGGGGAUAGCCCGGCGAAAGCCGGAUUAAUACCGCAUGAGACCUACGGGUGAAAGGGGGGGAUCGCAAGACCUCUCGCUAUUGGAGCGGCCGAUGUCAGAUUAGGUAGUUGGUGGGGUAAAGGCCUACCAAGCCGACGAUCUGUAGCUGGUCUGAGAGGACGACCAGCCACACUGGGACUGAGACACGGCCCAGACUCCUACGGGAGGCAGCAGUGGGGAAUUUUGGACAAUGGGCGCAAGCCUGAUCCAGCCAUGCCGCGUGCGGGAAGAAGGCCUUCGGGUUGUAAACCGCUUUUGUCAGGGAAGAAAUCCUUUGAGCUAAUACCUCGGGGGGAUGACGGUACCUGAAGAAUAAGCACCGGCUAACUACGUGCCAGCAGCCGCAGUAAUAC